GACGAACGCUGGCGGCGCGCCUAACACAUGCAAGUCGAACGAGCGAGAGAGAGCUUGCUUUCUCGAGCGAGUGGCGAACGGGUGAGUAACGCGUGAGGAACCUGCCUCAAAGAGGGGGACAACAGCUGGAAACGACUGCUAAUACCGCAUAAGCCCACGGCCCGGCAUCGAGCCGGGGGAAAAGGAGCGAUCCGCUUUGAGAUGGCCUCGCGUCCGAUUAGCUAGUUGGUGGGGUAACGGCCCACCAAGGCGACGAUCGGUAGCCGGACUGAGAGGUUGAACGGCCACAUUGGGACUGAGACACGGCCCAGACUCCUACGGGAGGCAGCAGUGGGGAAUAUUGCACAAUGGGGGAAACCCUGAUGCAGCGACGCCGCGUGGAGGAAGAAGGUCUUCGGAUUGUAAACUCCUGUUGUUGGGGAAGAUAAUGACGGUACCCAACAAGGAAGUGACGGCUAACUACGUG
rnacentral:rRNA from 1 species